CACAAAGCACAUGGCCCAGGUGAUUGCCAAGGUGAUGGCCAGGUGAUUUGCCAAGGUGGUGGCCAAGGUGAUUGCCAAGGUGAUGGCCAGGUGAUUGGCCAGGUGAUUGCCAAGGUGAUGGCAAAAUGUCCACAUACUUUUAUAUAUUUAUUUAUUUAUUUAGAAUCUCAAUAGCUUCUAUCGUAUCAGUAGUUAAUUUUUCCUAAAAAGUGAUUUGCCAAAUCAUUUUGAUUUGCCUAAAAAGUGAUUUGCCAAGGUGAUGGCCAAGUGAUUGCCAAGGUGAUGGCCAGGUGAUGGCCAGGUGACUGGCCAGGUGAUGGCCAAGGUGAUGGCAAAAUGUCCACAUACUUUUAUAUAUUUAUUUAGAAUCUCAAUAGCUUCUAUCGUAUCAGUAGUUA
ensembl:lncRNA